UACGUAGGUGGCAAGCGUUGUCCGGAUUUACUGGGCGUAAAGAGCGCGCAGGCGGUCGAAUAAGUCGAAUGUGAAAGCCCCCGGCUUAACUGGGGGGGGUCAUUCGAUACUGUUCGACUUGAAGGCAGGAGAGGGCAGCAGAAUUCCCGGUGUAGUGGUGAAAUGCGUAGAUAUCGGGAGGAAUACCAGUGGCGAAGGCGGCUGCCUGGCCUGUUCUUGACGCUGAGGCGCGAAAGCUGGGGGAGCAAACGGG
rnacentral:rRNA from 1 species